rnacentral:rRNA from 1 species
UUUAACAUGAGAGUUUGAUCCUGGCUCAGGAUGAACGCUGGCGGCGUGCUUAACACAUGCAAGUCGAACGAAGCACUUUAUUUGAUUUCCUUCGGGACUGAUUAUUUUGUGACUGAGUGGCGGACGGGUGAGUAACGCGUGGGUAACCUGCCUUGUACAGGGGGAUAACAGUUGGAAACGGCUGCUAAUACCGCAUAAGCGCACGGCAUCGCAUGAUGCAGUGUGAAAAACUCCGGUGGUAUAAGAUGGACCCGCGUUGGAUUAGCUAGUUGGUGAGGUAACGGCCCACCAAGGCGACGAUCCAUAGCCGACCUGAGAGGGUGACCGGCCACAUUGGGACUGAGACACGGCCCAAACUCCUACGGGAGGCAGCAGUGGGGAAUAUUGCACAAUGGGCGAAAGCCUGAUGCAGCGACGCCGCGUGAGCGAAGAAGUAUUUCGGUAUGUAAAGCUCUAUCAGCAGG